rnacentral:rRNA from 1 species
GACGAACGCUGGCGGCGUGCUUAACACAUGCAAGUCGAGCGGAGCGGCGAACGGGUGAGUAACUCGGGAGUAACUGCCCACCUCUCUGGGAUCACAGUUGGACACGGCUGCUAAUACCGGAUAGUGGGGGAUGACUCGCGUCCUAUCAGCUUGUUGGUGGGGUAGUGGCCUUCGAAGGCGACGACGGGUAGCCGGCCUGAGAGGGCGACCGGCCACAUGGGGCUGCGAGACGGCCCAAACGCGUACGGGAGGCAGCAGUGGGGAAUAUUGCACAAUGGGGGAAACCCUGAGGCAGCGACGCCGCGUGUGGGAUGACGGCCUUCGGGUGGGAAACCGCUUUCAGCCAUGACGCGGUAGUGGCAGAAGAAGCACCGGCUAACUACGUGCCAGCAGCCGCGGUAAUUC